rnacentral:lncRNA from 1 species
AACUAUGAACCCCUGAAUCCAGGUUUCCGCUGCAGUGAUUGUGCCCGGGCCGCGCGGCAGGGCUUGCGUUGUGAAGUGAUGCUGCAAAGGGCGUCUUCGCGAAAAAAAAAAGAAUUCUAG